GUGCUCACACAGAUUGUCUGAUGAAAAUAAUGAGCAAAAGCGUCAACAAAGUACGGUGUCGUGUCCCCUUCGUCUAGAGGCCUAGGACACCGCCCUUUCACGGCGGUAACAGGGGUUCGAAUCCCCUAGGGGACGCCAGCGCAUCCGACCAUUCCGGUGAAAGCGGGGGUCUUCAGUAAGUCAACGACUUACCUCAUAUCUUAAAACUGAUUAGUGAUAGUCAGGGUUUAAGAUAUUGCUCUUUAACAAUCUGGAACAAGCUGAAAAUUGAAACAUGACAGCUGAACGAGCGUGGUGCCUGCGGGUAUUCAUGACGAGUCAGUCUGUCAAUGAGUCUCUCAAAUAAUCGCAGCGCGAUGAUGAAUCAAUCGAAACAUCUUCGGGUUGUGAGGUUAAGCGACUAAGCGUACACGGUGGAUGCCUAGGCAGUCAGAGGCGAUGAAGGGCGUGCUAAUCUGCGAUAAGCGUCGG
rnacentral:misc_RNA from 1 species